CACGUAGGGUGCAAGCGUUGUCCGGAAUUAUUGGGCGUAAAGGGCUCGUAGGCGGUCCGUCACGUCGGGAGUGAAAACUCAGGGCUCAACCCUGAGCGUGCUUCCGAUACGGGCAGACUAGAGGUAUGCAGGGGAGAACGGAAUUCCUGGUGUAGCGGUGGAAUGCGCAGAUAUCAGGAGGAACACCGGUGGCGAAGGCGGUUCUCUGGGCAUGACCUGACGCUGAGGAGCGAAAGCAUGGGGAGCGAACAGG
rnacentral:rRNA from 1 species